UUAAGUCAAACAGAGCUCUGAUUCGGAGAUGCAGAGAUUAUUCAGGGGUGGAACUGCAAAUCCAGUCAGACCUGGCUCCAGGCUAGCACUGCUACUUCUAGCUAGCUCAAUGGAACACGGAGGACCCCGUUACCAGACGAGACAGCAUUUCGGUGGAUCGUCGUUGAAAUCCAGGAAGAGAUUAUCUGGCCAAUGCUGGGUGUCUCAGGUCUUUGAAACGCAUAGAAGACAAAGAUCUCUUGGUGGAGGAUAUCAUCAUGUUUCAGCUGGUUCAUCGAGUUAGUGGAGCACUUCAAAGGUUCAGGGAGGGGAUGAAGACCCUUGGUGUUCUUGAUGCAAUAAGAAUGCACCCAGAUGCUUUCAGACCGCUGUUUUGUCACGAGCCAUCCCCACUCACAGCGGAUGUACUAGAACUGUCAGCAGUGGGCAGGAACAAAAGAAGGGCAGAGGAAUGUGUGGUUGCAUUUUGGAGGGACUACCUGCUGGAUGUUGAGGGUAAGUAUUAUUGCUAGUUAUGGAAUAAAAAUCUUUUCAUAUGCCCUUCUGUCUGUCUUUGUCUUUCCCUCCUUUUUAAAAGUUUUCUACAUGC